GGAUUUGGAUAGGAUUUGAUUUAGGGUUUAGGGUUUGAUUAGGAUUUGGUUUAGGAUUUAGAGUUUGGAUUAGGAUUUGGUUUAGGAUUUGGUUAGGAUUUGAUUUAGGAUUUAGAGUUUGGUUUAGGGUUUAGAAUUUGGAUUAGGAUUUGGUUAGGGUUUGAUUUAGGGUUUAGGAUUUGGUUUAGGAUUUGGUUAGGAUUUGGUUUAGAAUUUGGUUGGAGUUUGAUUUAGGAUUUAAGAUUCAAUUAGUUUUGGCCUAAAGUUUGAAUGAAGUUCAAUAGGAUUUUAACUAUAAUUAAAUUAAGAUUGAAUUGAGAUGUAUUUGUUUGACAUUUGUGUUCUUUCUAAUGUUUCUUUAAAAAUUCCUAUUGUUGGUUUGAAAUUUCUUUGAGGUUUUUUUGAAUUUGAUUAAGCUUACUUAACAUUAUUAUAGUCUAAUUAGAGUAUUAUUAGUAUUCUAUUAGAAUUAAAAUUUUAUUAUUAUAAUUUCCAUUCUUCCUUCCACAGCCAGGUGCUCUGAGUUUUUUCAAGCAAGACUUCACGUAAUACGACACCAUAUUGGGUGGUUGAAGGAUUUUUUAAUGAGUUAGUCCAAUUGGUAGAUUUUAUGACCAUGAAUUCAGUAUACGUUGUCAUGUUGUAACACGACUAUAUAUUGAAAGAUGAUAAUAUGGAUCUUAUUAUAAAAGAGCCAAGUUAAAAGAAAAGGUAGAAAAAUAUGAAUAAAAGAUAGGAAGGUAGUAAAACUUUUACUAGUAAUGCUGUCCUUUUAAAAAAAAAUAGCUUCUACUUACUUUGUAGGACCAAAAAUAAGAAAAAAUAAGGUAGAUUGAAAAAAUAAAUGAUAUAGACAUCUUUAGGAGGAAAUUAAGAUUAAAUUCUAGUAAAAAUUACUAAAAAAAAACUAGAUGUUGAUA
rnacentral:lncRNA from 1 species